rnacentral:lncRNA from 1 species
AUAAAAUGGAAAAUAAAAGAGUUUUAAAAAGUGGGGACAGUGUAGAAGCCUCAGUGACAGAAAGAAGUGAGUAAUGAUGGCAAAUCCAAUGACCUACUUGGUGACGGAAAAGAGACGGGAGCUGCAAGACAUGGGGCACCCAUGGCCAGAGUCUCAGAUGGCUGCCUGACUAGAAUGUCAAGGAGGGGACAUCACGGGAAAAUGAGAGGAAGAUGACAAAAAUGCUGAAGCAGGGGUAUAAUGGGAAGAUUUCAACUUAAGCUUUGAUUGGAUGGCUAAAAACAAAU